rnacentral:rRNA from 1 species
UACGAAGGGUGCAAACGUUGCUCGGAAUUACUGGGCGUAAAGGGCGCGUAGGCGGCACAGCAAGUCGGGAGUGAAAGCCCGGGGCUCAACCCCGGAAUGGCUUUCGAAACUGCUGAGCUAGAGUACAGAAGGGGCAACCGGAAUUCCCAGUGUAGCGGUGAAAUGCGUAGAUAUUGGGAAGAACACCUGAGGCGAAGGCGGGUUGCUGGGCUGAUACUGACGCUGAGGCGCGAAAGCCAGGGGAGCAAACGGG